AUGGGGGGUGAUGGCGGGAGCGGGCGACUCAAUCCUGUCCUUCUUCCCUGCGCAGGGCUGCGGGCGGCCGUGCAGCUGGUCGAGUCCGGAGGGGGCCUCCAGACCCCCGGGGGGUCCCUGACCCUCCUCUGCAAGGCCUCCAGCUUCUCCAUCAGUGGCUACAGCAUGAGCUGGGUGCGACAGGCGCCCGGGAAGGGGCUCGAGUACGUCGCGGGUAUUGAUAGCGGUGGUAGCACAGGCUACGUGCCGUCGGUCCAGGGGCGCUUCACCCUCUCCAGGGACGACUCCCAGAGCACGGUCACGCUGCAGAUGAACAGCCUCAAGACCGACGACACGGGCACCCGCUGCUGCACAAAAGCUGAUUAUGGUGGUUUAUGGAUGGGAAAGAAACCCACAUCAAGUGGUUUUCAUUAA